rnacentral:lncRNA from 1 species
CAGGAAGUGACAUCAUCAGAGAUGUUAUGACAGAAUGUCUCUAGAAUAGUCAGUAGAAUCUCUGAAAGGAUGUCUGCCAGUGCACAGCAUUAUGACAUCAUUGACUUAAAUAAGGAGGCUCAUUCUAGUACUCAUUCUUGAUCUGUGGUUACAGAAUAUUGGCACCAUGUUAAAUCUCCCUCUCACCUCUCUGACAGUAUCUGAACAAAGGACGCUGGUACCAGAGGAUAGUGUUAUAGCUAGGGAUUUUAUGACUGCAGCUGAGUGGGACAGAGACAGACGCAUUAGGCUCUACCAGCAGUGUAGAGGGAGACUGGUACACUACUUUACUGAGAGAGACACCUGGGGAGAGAGACAGAGACAGACGCAUUAGGCUCUACCAGCAGUGUAGAGGGAGACUGGUACACUACUUUACUGAGAGAGACACCUGGGGAGAGAGACAGAGACAGAGAGAGAGAGAGAGCGAGACAGCGAGAAAGAGAGACAGCGAGAGAGGAGAGAGAGACAGUGAAAGAGGAGAGAGAGGAGAGAGAGACAGGGAGAGAGACAGAGAAUGAGAGCGAGAGAAAGACAGCGACAAAGAGACAGCGAGAGAGAUGAUAGAGAGAGACAGCGAGAAAGAGAGACAGCGAGAGAGAGGAGAGAGAGUGAGGAGAGAGAAAAAUCGGGAAGUUUCGACUCCUAUUCGUUCAUUCAUACAGAAUGGCAGGCAGGCUCAGGGCAGGCAGAAUGAUCAAAACCGGAAAACAGGGGCUCAAGAAAACAGGAGUACGAAAAACAAGCUGGUAGGCUUGACGAGACAAGAUGAACUGGCAACAGACAAACAGAG